rnacentral:rRNA from 1 species
AUUGAACGCUGGCGGCAUGCUCUACACAUGCAAGUCGAACGGUAACAGGCCGCAAGGUGCUGACGAGUGGCGCACGGGUGAGUAAUGCAUCGGAACGUGCCCAGUCGUGGGGGAUAACUACUCGAAAGAGUAGCUAAUACCGCAUACGAUCUAUGGAUGACAGCGGGGGACCGUAAGGCCUCACGCGAUUGGAGCGGCCGAUGUCAGAUUAGGUAGUUGGUGGGGUAAAGGCUCACCAAGCCAACGAUCUGUAGCUGGUCUGAGAGGACGACCAGCCACACUGGGACUGAGACACGGCCCAGACUCCUACGGGAGGCAGCAGUGGGGAAUUUUGGACAAUGGGCGCAAGCCUGAUCCAGCAAUGCCGCGUGCAGGAAGAAGGCCUUCGGGUUGUAAACUGCUUUUGUACGGAACGAAACGGCUCUGGUUAAUACCCGGGGCUAAUGACGGUACCGUAAGAAUAAGCACCGGCUAACUACGUG